rnacentral:rRNA from 1 species
CCUACGGGAGGCAGCAGUGGGGAAUAUUGCACAAUGGGCGAAAGCCUGAUGUAGCAACGCCGCGUGAGCGAUGAAGGCCUUCGGGUCGUAAAGCUCUGUCCUCAAGGAAGAUAAUGACGGUACUUGAGCAUGAAGCCCCGGCUAACUACGUACCAGCAGCCGCGGUAAUACGUAGGGGUCUAGGGUUAUCCCGAGUUACUGGGCGUAAAGGUGGCGAAGGUGGUUUCGUAAGUCAGAGGUGAAGGGCUGAGGCUAAACCGUAGUGAGCCUUUGAAACUGGGGAACUUGAGUGGAGGAGAGGAGAGUGGAAGUCCUAGUGUAGCGGUGAAAUGCGGAGAUAUUAGGAGGAACACCAGUGGCGAAGGCGGCUCUCUGGACUGUAACUGACACUGAGGCUCGAAAGCGUGGGGAGCAAACAGGAUUAGAUACCCGAGUAGUC